AGGCUUAACACAUGCAAGUCGAGGGGCAGCAUGGUCUUAGCUUGCUAAGGCCGAUGGCGACCGGCGCACGGGUGAGUAACACGUAUCCAACCUGCCGUCUACUCUUGGACAGCCUUCUGAAAGGAAGAUUAAUACAAGAUGGCAUCAUGAGUCCACAUGUUCACAUGAUUAAAGGUAUUCCGGUAGACGAUGGGGAUGCGUUCCAUUAGAUAGUAGGCGGGGUAACGGCCCACCUAGUCUUCGAUGGAUAGGGGUUCUGAGAGGAAGGUCCCCCACAUUGGAACUGAGACACGGUCCAAACUCCUACGGGAGGCAGCAGUGAGGAAUAUUGGUCAAUGGGCGAGAGCCUGAACCAGCCAAGUAGCGUGAAGGAUGACUGCCCUAUGGGUUGUAAACUUCUUUUAUAAAGGAAUAAAGUCGGGUAUGCAUACCCGUUUGCAUGUACUUUAUGAAUAAGGAUCGGCUAACUCCGUGCCAGCAGCCGCGGUAAUACGGAGGAUCCGAGCGUUAUCCGGAUUUAUUGGGUUUAAAGGGAGCGUAGAUGGAUGUUUUAAGUCAGUUUGUGAAAGUUUGCGGCUCAACCGUAAAAUUGCAGUUGAUACUGGAUAUCUUGAGUGCAGUUGAGGCAGGCGGAAUUCGUGGUGUAGCGGUGAAAUGCUUAGAUAUCACGAAGAACUCCGAUUGCGAAGGCAGCCUGCUAAGCUGCAACUGACAUUGAGGCUCGAAAGUGUGGGUAUCAAACAGGAUUAGAUACCCUGGUAGUCCACACGGUAAACGAUGAAUACUCGCUGUUUGCGAUAUACGGCAAGCGGCCAAGCGAAAGCGUUAAGUAUUCCACCUGGGGAGUACGCCGGCAACGGUGAAACUCAAAGGAAUUGACGGGGGCCCGCACAAGCGGAGGAACAUGUGGUUUAAUUCGAUGAUACGCGAGGAACCUUACCCGGGCUUAAAUUGCAGAUGAAUUACGGUGAAAGCCGUAAGCCGCAAGGCAUCUGUGAAGGUGCUGCAUGGUUGUCGUCAGCUCGUGCCGUGAGGUGUCGGCUUAAGUGCCAUAACGAGCGCAACCCUUGUUGUCAGUUACUAACAGGUUCCGCUGAGGACUCUGACAAGACUGCCAUCGUAAGAUGUGAGGAAGGUGGGGAUGACGUCAAAUCAGCACGGCCCUUACGUCCGGGGCUACACACGUGUUACAAUGGGGGGUACAGAGGGCCGCUACCACGCGAGUGGAUGCCAAUCCCCAAAACCUCUCUCAGUUCGGACUGGAGUCUGCAACCCGACUCCACGAAGCUGGAUUCGCUAGUAAUCGCGCAUCAGCCACGGCGCGGUGAAUACGUUCCCGGGCCUUGUACACACCGCCCGUCAAGCCAUGGGAGCCGGGGGUACCUGAAGUGCGUAACCGCGAGGAGCGCCCUAGGGUAAAACUGGUGACUGGGGCUAAGA
rnacentral:rRNA from 1 species